UCAAACUUGGUCAUUUAGAGGAAGUAAAAGUCGUAACAAGGUUUCCGUAGGUGAACCUGCGGAAGGAUCAUUAUUGAAUAAACUUGGUUGGGGCUGUUGCUGGCUCUCAGGGGCAAUGUGCACGCUCACACCAUCUUUUAACCACCUGUGCACCUUGUGUAGAUCUCUAAGGGUUACCCCUUCAAGAUCUAUGUUUUUAUUAUACCCUAUACAAAUGUAAUAGAACGGUUGAAUGGGGCCCUCGUGCCUUUAAAAUAAAACAACUUUCAACAACGGAUCUCUUGGCUCUCGCAUCGAUGAAGAACGCAGC
rnacentral:misc_RNA from 1 species